AGAGUUUGAUCAUGGCUCAGAUUGAACGCUGGCGGCAUGCCUUACACAUGCAAGUCGAGCGGCAGCGCGGGGGCAACCCUGGCGGCGAGCGGCGAACGGGUGAGUAAUGCAUCGGAACGUGUCCUCUUGUGGGGGAUACCAGUCGAAAGACUGGCUAAUACCGCAUGAGAUCGAGAGAUGAAAGCAGGGGACCGCAAGGCCUUGCGCGAGAGGAGCGGCCGAUGCCGGAUUAGCUAGUUGGUGGGGUAACGGCCUACCAAGGCGACGAUCCGUAGCUGGUCUGAGAGGACGACCAGCCACACUGGGACUGAGACACGGCCCAGACUCCUACGGGAGGCAGCAGUGGGGAAUUUUGGACAAUGGGGGCAACCCUGAUCCAGCCAUGCCGCGUGUGUGAAGAAGGCCUUCGGGUUGUAAAGCACUUUCGGACGGAACGAAAUCGCGCGGUUGAAUAUUCCGCGUGGAUGACGGUACCGUAAGAAGAAGCACCGGCUAACUACGUGCCAGCAGCCGCGGUAAUACGUAGGGUGCGAGCGUUAAUCGGAAUUACUGGGCGUAAAGUGUGCGCAGGCGGCCGCGCAAGUCGAGUGUGAAAUCCCCGAGCUUAACUUGGGAAUUGCGCUCGAAACUACGUGGCUGGAGUGUGGCAGAGGAAGGUGGAAUUCCACGUAGCGGUGAAAUGCGUAGAUAUGUGGAGGAACACCGAUGGCGAAGGCAGCCUUCUGGGCCAACACUGACGCUCAUGCACGAAAGCGUGGGGAGCAAACAGGAUUAGAUACCCCAGUAGUCC
rnacentral:rRNA from 1 species